rnacentral:rRNA from 1 species
GUGGGGAAUCUUGCGCAAUGGGCGAAAGCCUGACGCAGCCAUGCCGCGUGAAUGAUGAAGGUCUUAGGAUUGUAAAAUUCUUUCACCGGGGACGAUAAUGACGGUACCCGGAGAAGAAGCUCCGGCUAACUUCGUGCCAGCAGCCGCGGUAAUACGAAGGGGGCUAGCGUUGCUCGGAAUUACUGGGCGUAAAGGGCGCGUAGGCGGACAGCUUAGUCAGAGGUGAAAGCCCAGGGCUCAACCUUGGAAUUGCCUUUGAUACUGGCUGUCUUGAGUUUGGGAGAGGUGAGUGGAACUCCUAGUGUAGAGGUGGAAUUCGUAGAUAUUAGGAAGAACACCAGUGGCGAAGGCGGCUCACUGGUCCGGUACUGACGCUGAGGUGCGAAAGCGUGGGGAGCAAACAGGAUUAGAUACCCCUGUAGUCC